AGACGAAAGACGAGACGAUUGUCCCCAAACAUGGUCCCAAGAUGCACGUUUUGUAAAUGGUGAAUCUCAAAUUAAUCAAAGAACUCGUCAUUUCACUUCAUUGACUUUCUCUUCCCAUUUUAAUAAUGAUGAUAAAUUGCAAGAACUUACCGGAGAUCUCUUCCUUUCUGUGGUUCCUUUCAAUUGAUUCCUUUGAGUUUAAUCUCUCGCCGCUGUUCCAGACCUUAUCCACUAGCGGAAUAUGCCGAGAGAUGUUGAACUUAUUCCAGGUUAACCCUUCGCCAUCGUGCUAUAGAAGUUGACGGUUAAACAAGAGCUUGCUUUCGAUCAAUAACAAUAAAUUAGGUAGAUGUAGAUAAAUAACAAGUGCAUGGGCUCCCUUCUAUUCUGUGGCCCCGUUUCCCUAACUAACCACCUACGGAGGGCUCUGGUCGAACGGGGACUUGAACGGUUCAUGUUCUGAGGAAAAUUUUUUGAGGGACAAGAGUCUAAUCAGGCAGUCUACUAUGAUCCCAAGCAAAAGUUGCCUCGCACUCUUCUUUCUUCUUCCUUGUCCGGGUAAUCUCUCUGGGCAGAGUCAAUCAAGGUAGUCUCCC
rnacentral:lncRNA from 1 species